AUGGUAGUACCAACAUUUGCAUCAUUUUGUGUCCAUGAACUUAAAUAGAUUUACUUACUUGAUUCAUUUAAACUCAGGGAGAACUAACUUAUGGAAGAUUGGGGAAUGGUGAUUUGGCAAAAGAUCAUAUCUUUGUGGCCCAUAGAAACCUUUCCUUAUCCCUUCCAGGAGUUUCUGAAAGUGUGGAUGAGCUAUGUGAGACUGCUGUCCAUAAUCUUGACUUAAUAAAAAAAGGUGCCGCUCCUGAUGAUCUAUAUGCAAUAGUCAUGGGACAAGAGCAAAGUAAGCAUAUUCGAAUGGUAGGACUGGAUCUCUCACCUGAGAACUAUUGGGGCAAGAACAAAAAUCAUGUCGAGGCCAUAAGGAAGGCAAUUGAAACCACUGAGGAGGUUCGGGCCUUGAAGCAAGAGCUACAAGUAUAUCGACGAGAGCCUUUGGAAUUUAGUUUUCUUUUUCCAUGUUUGUGUACAUAGUUUUUAAAGAACUGUACUUUGGAUUUGUUUAUUUUGUGGAGUAUUUAUGUUUUUAUUUUAAGAUUGAAUUUAUAGUUUCAAUUUGAUCUAUGGGAUGUUUUUACUGUUUCCAUAAAUUAUCAAUAAGAAAAUUUUUGAUUU